UACGUAGGGUGCGAGCGUUGUCCGGAAUUACUGGGCGUAAAGAGCUCGUAGGUGGUUUGUCACGUCGUCUGUGAAAUUCCGGGGCUUAACCUCGGGCGUGCAGGCAAUACGGGCAAUACUUGAGUGCCGUAGGGGAGACUGGAAUUCCUGGUGUAGCGGUGAAAUGCGCAGAUAUCAGGAGGAACACCAAUGGCGAAGGCAGGUCUCUGGGCAGUUACUGACGCUGAGGAGCGAAAGCAUGGGUAGCGAACAGGAUUAGAUACCCCU
rnacentral:rRNA from 1 species